UCACAAACACAAGUACCUCGUCCACCGAAGCUUUUAAUUUAACUUCUUUUCAAUGAGAAGCUGGAAUAAAAUUCCAAGCCCAGCUGAUCAAAAUCCAAAUGCCUGUCAUUUUGCCUUCACAGCAAAUCUGGAGCAAUAAGAUCUGCCUGAUGGGGCUCCUCCAGAACCAGAACCAGUCUCUGGUCUUUUCUCAACCAGAGGUCAUCCACUUGGAAUCCACAGCACAACAAUCAGCUGUAAACAACAUUGUCAUCGUGCUGUGUGUGUUGAUCUUCAUCCUCCAGCUGUGUUUAGCUCUGUUCUUCAUGCUGAGAUGUUUUAGAUAUGACAACAGAAUACGAGAGGCUCUCAAACAGCCGACCGCUGUUAAAAAAAUCCUUGGCAUUUAUAAAGAGUCCAGGGAUCACCUUUAUGAUGCUGCUGGUUCUUCAUCACCUGCCAUGUCAGCAGUGGAGGAAAGUUAUGAACAGCCCACAGGUUCCUUAAGUGCACCGCACAUAUACUGGGACCUUGUUCAGUAGUCACGUGUCUAACAGUUC